rnacentral:lncRNA from 1 species
GUCAUUAGAGAAAUGCAAAUCAAAACCACAUUGAGAUACCAUCUUACACCAGUUAGAAUGGCAAUCAUUUAAAAAUCUGUGGACAACAGAUGCCAGAGAGGAAGUGGAGAAAAAGGAACACUUUUGUACUGUCGGUGGGAGUGUAAAUUAGUUCAAACAUUAUGGAAGACAUUGUGGCGAUUCCUCAAGGACCUAGAAAUAGAAAUUCCAUUUUGACCCAGCAAUGCCAUUACUGGGUAUAUACCCAAAGGAAGGGCUGGACUUGAGACUGAACGAGACUUGCACAGUAGCCCAGCCCAGGGGAUUGCAGGGACAGAUCGUUUGGGAUACCCAGUGGGACGAACAAAACCACGAUUUCAAACUAUCCCGGGCAGACGGUCCGAGACGCUCUGUGGGGGAGGGGCGUCCACCACUACGGAGGCAACCUGCCCCAACUGAUAUACACGCCCACUGCUGAGGCAGCCAGCCCUUGCCGAGGCAACCCGCCCCAACUGAGAUACACGCCCAAAGCUGACGCAGCCAGCCGUUGCCGAGGCAACCCGUCCCUACUGAGAUACACGCCCACUGCUGACGCAGCCAGCCGUUGCCGAGGCAACCCGUCCCUACUGAGAUACACGCCCACUGCUGACGCAGCCUGCCGUUGCUGAGGCAACACGCUACAACGAAGAGACUCCGCCGCAGGGCGUGGCGGAGACCACAGCAGAGCCGGCAGGAACAGCGCGAAUCACACAACAGCAGGGCGGAGCCUCGGCAGCCAAACAGUGGCUAGUCUGCCUUCGAGCUGGGCAGGACACCUGAUCGGACAUCCAAAAAUAAAGCCCAAACCCCUCAACACAGAGCAUUUGAGAAAAAAAAAAGGGUUGUUUAAUGAGCUGUGUUGCAGCAGAAUCAAACAUAGCAGCCUAACAGCCCUGAAUGAACAACAGAGUGCACAGCUCAGCAAUUAAACCCCUAUAAAGUACAAACUGUCUCCUCAAGCAGCUCCCUGACCCCUCUAUAUCCAAAAGACUGUCAUUAGGCAGGCAUCAUCCUGGGACAAAGAGAGCAGAAAAAGAAACUGGUAGCAUCCCUCGCUGUGCCACGGCUACUAGAGGUGCACCCCAGACAAGCAGGGUCUGGAGCGGACCUCAACAGUCGUACAGCGAAGGGGCUAGACUGGUAGAAGGAAAACCAAGCAACAGAAAUACUUCAUCAUCAACAUUCUGGGUGUCCACUCAGAGACCCAAACGAAAAGUCAGCAACUACGCAGACGAC